rnacentral:rRNA from 1 species
GUGAACCUGCGGAAGGAUCAUUAUCGAGUUUUGAACGGGUUGUAGCUGGCCUUUAACGAGGCAUGUGCACACCUGGCUCAUCCACUCUCAACCUCUGUGCACUUUAUGUAAGAAACGGUGUAAGCCAGCUAUUUAAUAGUUGGUAACAAGCCUUUCUUAUGUUUACUACAAACGCUUCAGUUAUAGAAUGUUUACUGUGUAUAACACAAUUAUAUACAACUUUCAGCAACGGAUCUCUUGGCUCUCGCAUCGAUGAAGAACGCAGCGAAAUGCGAUAAGUAAUGUGAAUUGCAGAAUUCAGUGAAUCAUCGAAUCUUUGAACGCACCUUGCACUCCUUGGUAUUCCGAGGAGUAUGCCUGUUUGAGUCUCAUGGAAUUCUCAACCCCUAAAUUUUGUAAUGAAGUUUAGUGGGCUUGGACUUGGAGGUUGUGUCGGCUUCUAGUCGACUCCUCUGAAAUGCAUUAGCGUGAAUCUUACGGAUCGCCUUCAGUGUGAUAAUUAUCUGCGCUGUGGUGUUGAAGUAUUUAUUAGUUCAUGCUUAUAGUCGUCUCUUACCGAGACAAUUUAUGACAAUCUGAGCUCAAAUCAGGUAGGACUACCCGCUGAACUUAAGCAUAUCAAUAAGCGGAGG